AUUGAACGCUGGCGGCAGGCUUAACACAUGCAAGUCGAGCGGGGUGAUGGUGCUUGCACUAUCACUUAGCGGCGGACGGGUGAGUAAUGCUUAGGAAUCUGCCUAUUAGUGGGGGACAACAUCUCGAAAGGGAUGCUAAUACCGCAUACGUCCUACGGGAGAAAGCAGGGGAUCACUUGUGACCUUGCGCUAAUAGAUGAGCCUAAGUCGGAUUAGCUAGUUGGUGGGGUAAAGGCCUACCAAGGCGACGAUCUGUAGCGGGUCUGAGAGGAUGAUCCGCCACACUGGGACUGAAACACGGCCCAGACUCCUACGGGAGGCAGCAGUGGGGAAUAUUGGACGAUGGGGGUAACCCUGAUCCAGCCAUGCCGCGUGUGUGAAGAAGGCCUUAUGGUUGUAAAGCACUUUAAGCGAGGAGGAGGCUCUUUUGGUUAAUACCCAAGAUGAGUGGACGUUACUCGCAGAAUAAGCACCGGCAAACUCUGUGCCAGCCGCCGCCGUAA
rnacentral:rRNA from 1 species